rnacentral:rRNA from 1 species
GGAUGAACGCUGGCGGCGUGCUUAACACAUGCAAGUCGAACGAAGCACUUUAUUUGAUUUCCUUCGGGACUGAUUAUUUUGUGACUGAGUGGCGGACGGGUGAGUAACGCGUGGGUAACCUGCCUUGUACAGGGGGAUAACAGUUGGAAACGGCUGCUAAUACCGCAUAAGCGCACGGCAUCGCAUGAUGCAGUGUGAAAAACUCCGGUGGUAUAAGAUGGACCCGCGUUGGAUUAGCUAGUUGGUGAGGUAACGGCCCACCAAGGCGACGAUCCAUAGCCGACCUGAGAGGGUGACCGGCCACAUUGGGACUGAGACACGGCCCAAACUCCUACGGGAGGCAGCAGUGGGGAAUAUUGCACAAUGGGCGAAAGCCUGAUGCAGCGACGCCGCGUGAGCGAAGAAGUAUUUCGGUAUGUAAAGCUCUAUCAGCAGGGAAGAUAAUGACGGUACCUGACGAAGAAGCACCGGCUAAAUACGUG